GUACUGAUGAAGAGUCCCACACUAGGACGAAACAGUUGUCUAGUAA
rnacentral:hammerhead_ribozyme from 1 species